rnacentral:sRNA from 1 species
AUGCAAACAUGCACCAUUUCACAGCAUUAGCACAACAAACACACCAUGCUCUAUCCUCCAUGUAUCCAUAUCCAUAUCCAUCCAUCCAUCCAUCCAUCUUCUCUUCUAGCUAGCCAUGCAUAUCCACUUUGAAAGGGAGAAAAGAAAGAGUGACAUAGUUUUAAGAGAGACAUAUAGAUAUAGGUAGUGUUCAUGGUGUUAAUUUAGAUGUAGUUAGUUUGGUGUGGCAAUAUGGCGGCAUUGGAGGGGAGAUAUAUGUGUGUGUGUGUUUGGUACUUUGGGUGAUUGUGAAGGUGAUGAAAAGGUAGGGGAUAUGCCUGGCUCCCUGUAUGCCGCUCGCAUGGCUGCCAACCCAAUGAACUCGAUCUCGUUGUUGGCCGCUGCGUACGGCGUGCGAGGUGCCAAGCAUGGCCCUCUUCCCUUCUCUCUUUCUCUCUCUACAUCUCUCUCUUCUUUCUUGUUGCAUUGCAUGUUUUAUAUAUCCUUAGAAUGCUUGUUUUCUUUUCUUGUUAAGUAAUCAUUCACAUGGAUCUAGCUAGUGCAUGCACGAAUUUUGAGUUAAAAAAAAACAAUCAGUGGAUAUGAACAUGACAGUGCAUAUAUAUAUACAGCAUUUACAUCAUUGCAUGCCCGAGCUAGUCUAAUUUUUGGAAUUUCUCUGAAGUCAGAUAGCUAGCCUUUGUAGAUUAAUUAUAUAUUACUGUGUGCAUUGCAUGCAUUUGCAUUUACUCGCUGCGUUUCUGAUGUAUAUAUACGUACUCCUACAUUGUUUAUCUUGUGAUGAAAUCAAGAUCAUGCAUGUGAACUAAUAUGAUAGAUUAAUUAUAGUAGUAUAAUUUUCAAUACUGCCUUGUAAAUAACUUUUAUUUCUUUUAAUGGAAAAAAUACGCUCCUUGCGUAUUCCCGAAAAUAAUUUUCAAUACUGAAACCUUUGCUCAGUUCUGAACUUGCUGCAGUUAGAGCAAAAUAAUGUGCCAAUCAGUUCGAAUAUCUUGCCUGCAUGCAUGCAUGCCGCCGUUGAGUCAGGUUGACGGCCGGCGCCGCGCCGCACUCCGGCGAGAGCUGCACACCGCCGCCGGCCGCCGCCUCAAUCCGUCCAUGGCAGACAGAGAUCGAUAGGCCGCCGCCUGCGCAGAAGAGAACACAGGGACGCGUCCGAGCAUGCCGAACGUCGGAAGUUCCAUCCCGCCGAUGAAGGCGGUGGCUGCCGGAGAACCCGGCCGGCCGGAGGCGCCGCAAUGUCGCCGGAGAGAGAGGAGAUGGGGUGUGGUUGUACAAUUUGAACUUAUUGAGGGGGCUUUCUGAAAAAAUAGAUGUACUUCUUCCUUCCUACUAGCCGCCCAAUUAUUCGGCACACAUACUCUAUAAUAUUGUACAAUUUAAAGGAAAAAGGAUGCAUUUUAUAGAUUGAUGUGACCAGGGUUGGAAAUUUCGGACCGAAAUUUCUGAACUUUCGGUCAUUUCGUUC